CAGUUCGGAUUGUAGUCUGCAACCCGACUACAUGAAGCUGGAAUCGCUAGUAAUCGCGGAUCAGAAUGCCGCGGUGAAUACGUUCCCGGGUCUUGUACACACCGCCCGUCACACCAUGGGAGUCGGAAAUGCCCGAAGUCUGUGACCCAACCGAAAGGAGGGAGCAGCCGAAGGCAGGUCGGAUGACUGGGGUGAAGUCGUAACAAGGUAGC
rnacentral:rRNA from 1 species